rnacentral:rRNA from 1 species
CCAGGCGAUGGUUGUCCUGGGGUAAGCAUGUAGGGCGUGUCGUAGGUAAAUCCGCGGCAUUUAAGCCUGAGAUGUGAUGCCGAGCCGAUUGUGGUGAAGUGGAUGAUCCUAUGCUGCCGAGAAAAGCCUCUAGUGAGUGUUGUGGCGGCCCGUACCCUAAACCGACUCAGGUGGUCAGGUAGAGAAUACCAAGGCGAUCGGGUGAACUGUGGUUAAGGAACUCGGCAAAUUGCCCCCGUAACUUCGGGAGAAGGGGGACCUCUGUUGGUGAUGGGCUUUACGCCUGGAGCUGGUGGGGGUCGCAGUGGCCAGGGGGAAGCGACUGUUUACUAAAAACACAGGUCCGUGCGAAGUCGUAAGACGAUGUAUACGGACUGACGCCUGCCCGGUGCCGGAACGUUAAGGGGACCGCUUAGCUGACGUGAGUUGGCGAAGGUGAGAACUUAAGCGCCGGUAAACGGCGGUGGUAACUAUAACCAUCCUAAGGUAGCGAAAUUCCUUGUCGGGUAAGUUCCGACCUGCACGAAUGGCGUAACGACUUCCCCGCUGUCUCAACCGCAGACCCGGCGAAAUUGCACUACGAGUAAAGAUGCUCGUUUCGCGCAGCAGGACGGAAAGACCCCGGGACCUUCACUACAGCUUGACAUUGGCGUUUGGAACGUCUUGUGUAGGAUAGGUGGGAGACUGGGAAGCUGUCACGCUAGUGAUGGUGGAGUCAUUGGUGAAAUACCACUCUGGUCGUUUUGAACGUCUAACUCUGGUCCGUGAUCCGGAUCGGGGACAGUGUCUGGUGGGUAGUUUAACUGGGGCGGUUGCCUCCUAAAGAGUAACGGAGGCGCCCAAAGGUUCCCUCAGCCUGGUUGGCAAUCAGGUGUUGAGUGUAAGUGCACAAGGGAGCUUGACUGUGAGACUGACAGGUCGAGCAGGAGCGAAAGCUGGGACUAGUGAUCCGGCAUCGGCGUGUGGAAGCGGUGUCGCUCAACGGCUAAAAGGUACCCCGGGGAUAACAGGCUGAUCUUCCCCAAGAGUCCAUAUCGACGGGAUGGUUUGGCACCUCGAUGUCGGCUCGUCGCAUCCUGGGGCUGGAGUAGUCCCAAGGGUUGGGCUGUUCGCCCAUUAAAGCGGUGCGCGAGCUGGGUUUAGAACGUCGCGAGACAGUUCGGUCCCUAUCCGCUGCGCGCGCAGGAGACUUGAAGGGGGCUGUCCCUAGUACGAGAGGACCGGGACGGACGAACCUCUGGUGUGCCAGUUGUACCGCCAGGUGCACGGCUGGUUGGCUACGUUCGGAAGGGAUAACCGCUGAAAGCAUCUAAGCGGGAAGCUCGCCUUGAGAUGAGGUCUCCCACCACGAGAGUGGGUAAGGCUCCCGGUAGACGACCGGGUUGAUAGGCCGGAGGUGGAAGCACGGUAACGUGUGGAGCUGACCGGUACUAAUAGGCCGAGGACUUGACCG